ACUAUAAAGAUCAUCAACCACAAUCACUAAUAAAGACUUUGAAAUUUUAGCUUGUUAGGAAAUUGUGCUCAUAUUUGAAGAAAAAGAUUACAUGGUUUUCUAUUCAAUGACUAUAUUGACCUAUGGUUCUAUAAAAUAGGCAUAUAAGGAGUGGAUGUUUAUACUGAAGUCUCAGCUUAAUAAAGUGUUCUUUUUUCUGAGCACAAUCUCAUCUUAAAGCACUGUCAUGAAGGAAGAUGGAAGCACUUUUAAAACUUGAGGGUCAAAAUGUAGGAAGAUGACCAUAUGAAUGAAAUCAUUAACCUGGUCUUCUCAAAGUAGAUUUAUGGAAGAUCCACACAUCUAGCAAUUACAAGGACACCAAAAAAUGCUGAAUUUGAAGAGUAGACUAUCCUCUGUGGUGGAUUAGUAGGGUGGCUUAGCAGAUAUGCAGAUCAUAUCUUCAAAGCUUUGAAAAGAUACGUGUUCUGAACACCACUACUAACUUAAUUAGUUUCUUUAAAACCUUUGGCCCAAUUCACUAUGGAACACUGAAAUCAUAUGGCAUACCAGGCAAAUAUAUGAGUAUUGUUGCACAAUGGGAAAAGGGUAAAAAAGCUGUAUAAAAGGAAAUGGAAACAGACUUCAAGGUCAGAAAAAGGGUAAAUUUUGUUGAGUGUGUUGUGAUUUAAUGUUUCUGAAAGUUAAGUUCAAAAGUUUAGACAUGCUUCAGAUACAUAAAAGAAUAUUCAGUUUCUUGUCUUAAGACAAAUUGCCUAUUGAAUAAUGCUGGUAUAGAUAAUGUGACUUUCCAGUUGAAAUAUUGACUAGGGUUCCUAAGCAGUGCAAAAUCCUGUGGCAUACUGCAACAGAAACCCCCUCUGUGCCUGGGAACAUUUGGUACCAUGGCACUCCAAUCUAAUGAUCAUGAGAGAUACUGCAGUUUGAAAAAAAUGAUACGGGCCACAGAAUUACAAGGAAGCUAGUAGAAUGUAACAGUGGUAACUGGUAGCCAAGAAUAGCACUUGCUAGUUUCUAGGCAGCACCGAUUGUCAUUAUUUUUUCUAAUUGAUACUUCUGAUUACAGAUUAUUAAUAUGAUGGAAAGACUGCUUUAUAUUAGAUUUGAUCCCAUUCCCAUUACAAUUAAUAUCACGCUUGAGGCCAUGUUGUACUUUUCUCUGAGUUAUCAAUAUGUUACAAUAUUUAACAUAGCCUAUUACUCAUAAUAUUUUGUGUUAAGGUUAGGAAGACUGUAUGUUACAAAAGUACACACAUUGUUUUUUCAAGGAGUUGGGAGUGCAAAGAAAGGUCACAUUUAAGUGCAUACAUAUCCUUAGGUACUUAACAGGCAGAUUAGGAUUUGGUCCCAUGUUUCAAAUUUGGUUGAAGUUUUUCCUAGAAAUUUACUCAUUAAAUCCUCUUUUAUAUGUUUACUCUUCUUUCUAGUCCCUAUUGAAAUAAUGUUUGCCUGUUUCCAGUCUGUAGGAGGAAGAUAUUAGAUUAUUUGGAUAGGCUAAAACCACCUGGAUCUGACAGAGUUCUGCUUCAUUCCAUUUUUGAACAAGAAUGUCUCAUCACAAAGUGAUCCUUUGCACAGCAUAAUGACGGGUUCCAGCUAGCUCUUUCUUGCAAGAACCACUUAAAGCACUCACCUGUUCUCAGUUUCCCACUCUGCCUGGUUUGGAACAAAGACAUAAAAUUAGUAGUGUAACUUGUGGGGCAGCAUGUGAGGCACCAACCAUCGGCACUGAUUCAGAGGGGCACCAGAAUGACAACUCCCAUGGAGUCUAUGCCAUCACUGCUGCCACUACUGCAGCAGCCUGUGUUUGGAGAGAUUUUACUGAGAUGUCAGCAGGCUGCACCAUCCCCUGCACAGAGAGAUCAUCCUUAUUGGGAAAGAGAUACAAGAUACCAUCACAAAUCAUAUCUAAACAGCCACAGGGAGGGAAAUGAAGGCAUGCUGUGAAGAAACCAGGCUAAACACCUAUUCAUUUUUAUUUGCUUUGCUGGGAUUCUGACUACUGGUGAAAAAGUGAGGAAUGGAGUAAUGCCUGCUGAAUUAUACCUUUCUACAGAGAACAAUACUCUGAGAGAGACAAAGAGAACUUUGUGGAAGCAAGAAGUGACUGAAAAGGGUGCUCUGAAAAAAUCUAUUUCUCUGGAGGCCAAUUUCAUGAAUUUUUUGUAAGCUGACUCAUGGUUUGGAACUCUGAAUGGUUGGCGAUCCUGGAAGGAAUAACAUGCUCUGGACUUGGGGACAUAGUUGCUAAUAAAAACAGAGCUCUUGGGGACCUGGAGAAUGGGAAAAAGAGGAGUACAGUAUUGAGUAACAUGAGGACAUUGGAAGAAAGCACUUCAGCAUUGUAUAUGAGAUCUAUUUUGAAUGCGUGCUUCAGCAUUCAUCUGAAAAUGGUUACUCUUCUGAACAGUUAUUUAUUGCUUACUUCCUAGCUUUAUAGACCCUAGAAUUGCUUGGCUGAUCUCCCAGUUCCCCCUGUCACACACCAUUUUCUGUCAACAGUAUACUUUUCACGUUUCAGGUGAUUUCAUUAAGAGCUCUUAGGUCUUGUUUGAUAUUUAUGCAUUACCUGGGUAAAAGUGCCUUAUCUUCCCUCAGUUUUUUCUGCCAAAAUGCCUACAAUCAUUUGGAUUUAUGAAAACUUUCUAUAGUGACUUUCAGCGAGCCUUUGAUAUAUAAUGUGAAGGUCUCUCUGGACAUACUUUCUUAGUUAUAUAUGUGCAAUUGGAUGAGGCAUACCUGUUUUCUAUUGUAACUUUGAUUUACAAAUGGACUAGGUAAGUCCAAGUUGUUUUCAUGUUUGAUUACUUCUUUGUUUGUUUUGUUCUGUACUUUUUCAAUCACAGAUGGCUGUGGGAUUUUUUGGAUGACAUUUUAAUAGUGUAAUAUAAACGUGCUAUUAAUAUGUCCACAAACAAAAAUGUUCUUCAGUAAUUUGAUUUGGAAGAAAUAGAGAGGAAAGCAUUACAAAUAGAAUGCUGUUCAAACUUGCAAGCUUUUUAAGACUUGCUUCUGUUACCUUUCUACAUGGUGAAUGGUACCAUACUCUGAGAGGUAGACCUAUUGAAAUCAGUAGGGAUACUUAGCAGCAAUGUACUUUCUAUAUGAGAAAGGAGGAGACAGACUAUAAGAGACUACCCUCUAAGACUGGAGAGAUAAUUUGCACUUCAAACUAGUGUAAAAAUUUAUGUGUAUCUCUGUGUACAGGCCUACUCAUUCCUCUCCAUUCUCAUUCUGAAGAAUUUUAAGUCUCUUCUGCUGAAGUUCGGCAGAUCAUCACAACUGCCCAUUUAAUUUAUGUAAGCAAAACUUUCCUUUGUGAAAAUGUAGCCCUUUUAGCCUUUAUAUUUUAAUUCAAGUGGUCCUUGUGAAAAAUUUGUCAAGUAAAAUGCUGUACGCCUUACUUUCACUAUUGUUAAUUAUAAUUAUUCUGCAAAGAA